CCUACGGGUGGCAGCAGUGGGGAAUAUUGCACAAUGGGGGAAACCCUGAUGCAGCCACGCCGCGUGAGUGAAGAAGUAUCUCGGUAUGUAAAGCUCUAUCUGCAGGGAAGAAGAUGACGGUACCUGAGUAAGAAGCCCCGGUUAAUUACGUGCCAGCAGCCGCGGUAAUACGCAGGGGGCAAGCGUUAUCCGGAUUUACUGGGUGUAAAGGGAGCGUAGACGGUGAGACAAGUCUGUAGUGAAAGCCCGCGGCUCAACCCCGGGACUGGUAUGGAAACUGCCUGACUGGAGUGCUGGAGAGGCAAGCGGAAUUCCUAGUGUAGCGGUGAAAUGCUUAGAUAUUAGGAAGAACACCAGUGGCGAAGGCGGCUUGCUGGACAGUAACUGACGUUGAGGCUCGAAAGCGUGGGUAGCAAACAGGAUUAGAUACCCCUGUAGUC
rnacentral:rRNA from 1 species